rnacentral:rRNA from 1 species
CCUACGGGAGGCAGCAGUGAGGAAUAUUGGUCAAUGGGCGGAAGCCUGAACCAGCCAAGCAGCGUGCAGGAUGACGGCCCUACGGGUUGUAAACUGCUUUUAUACGGGAAUAACGCGCCUUACGUGUAGGGCUUUGUAUGUACCAUAUGCAUAAGCAUCGGCUAACUCCGUGCCAGCAGCCGCGGUAAUACGGAGGAUGCGAGCGUUAGCCGGAUUUAUUGGGUUUAAAGGGUGCGUAGGUGGUUAAUUAAGUCAGCGGUGAAAGUUUGUGGCUCAACCAUAAAAUUGCCGUUGAAACUGGUUGACUUGAGUAGAUGAGAGGUAGGCGGAAUGCGUGGUGUAGCGGUGAAAUGCAUAGAUAUCACGAAGAACUCCGAUUGCGAAGGCAGCUUACUAAACUAUAACUGACACUGAAGCACGAAAGCGUGGGGAGCAAACAGGAUUAGAUACCCUAGUAGUC